rnacentral:lncRNA from 1 species
CGUUUGAAUAGUUUCACAAUUUGUCAAGUCGGGGCAAUUAUCUCACUAUACGAUAUUGGUAUUACUCAUUGUUAAAGUCUGGCAUUUGGUCUCUGGUGGGUACAGUUAUUGUAGUUGUCUCCCCUGGCAAUCAUACCGAUCUCUUUAUUUUUAAGUACAUACAUGUUUUGCAUUUUUUCUUUUUUUUUUCAUGUCAAAUAUAUUUUGUUAAGGGAUAACGAUACUUUAUAAAAAAAAAUAAUAGAUAUAAAUUAAUUUCCUACAAUUUAAUUACAUUGGCCGCAUUAAUA